AAGACUAUACUUUCAGGGAUCAUUUCUAUAGUAUCUGACUAGAGAAGUUUCUCUGAUCGUGUAGAGCACCCGAAGCCACAAGGAGGAGUCAGAGCGUCCUCUCCUGAGUUUAAAGCCGGCUCUAGGUGUGUCGCUUCUGCAACUGCCUUUGGCCAUUGAUGAUCAUUUUUUCCUCUGGAAAGGGUAGAGUGAGAGGAUGCAGUUUGAGUGUA